GCGCCAAUAGCUCAGCUGGAUAGAGCAAUUGCCUUCUAAGCAAUAGGCCAGGGGUUCGAGUCCCUUUUGGCGCGCCA
rnacentral:tRNA from 1 species